UACGUAGGUGGCUAGCGUUGUCCGGAUUUACUGGGCGUAAAGAGCGCGCAGGCGGUCGUUCAAGUCGAGUGUGAAAGCCCCCGGCUCAACUGGGGAGGGUCACUCGAUACUGAUCGACUCGAAGGCAGGAGAGGGAAGCGGAAUUCCCGGUGUAGUGGUGAAAUGCGUAGAUAGUCGGGAGGAACACCAGUGGCGAAGGCGGCUUCUGGCCGUGCUCUUGACGCUGAGGCGCGAAAGCUAGGGUAGCAAACGGG
rnacentral:rRNA from 1 species